rnacentral:sRNA from 1 species
UAACCAUGGGUCGGUCCCCUGGGACGGC